rnacentral:misc_RNA from 1 species
CGAGGCUUGAUCGCUAUCCAGCCUCGUGCUCAAAGACCCGGGAUUAUUUCGUUUGAAGGACCAAUCAUGACGACUUUGACGCUCGACGUUGCCCGCAAGAUUUCCGCCCUCGCCAAGUGCCGGGAACUGAAACUGAAGCCGAUGGCCAUCGCGAUCCUCGAUGCGCGCGGCGCGCUCAAGACGUUCGUGGCGGAAGACAAUACCAGCCUGCUGCGC